rnacentral:rRNA from 1 species
GUGCCAGCAGCCGCGGUAAUACAGAGGUCCCAAGCGUUGUUCGGAUUCACUGGGCGUAAAGGGUGCGUAGGUGGUGGGGUAAGUCGGAUGUGAAAGCUCGGAGCUCAACUCCGAAAUGGCAUUGGAAACUACCCUGCUAGAGGAUUGGAGGGGGGACUGGAAUACUUGGUGUAGCAGUGAAAUGCGUAGAUAUCAAGUGGAACACCAGUGGCGAAGGCGAGUCCCUGGACAAUACCUGACACUGAGGCACGAAAGCUAGGGGAGCAAACAGGAUUAGAAACCCCCGUAGUCC